rnacentral:pre_miRNA from 1 species
AAUAAAUACAGUUUUACACUAUUCAUGUCCAACGUUUGACCGUUCGUCUUAUUUGAAAAUUUUAUAUGAUUAGUAUUUUUAUUGUUAAUAUGAUAAAAUAUGAAUAAUACUUUAUGUGUGACUAUUUUUUAAAAAUUUUUUCAUAAAUUUUUUAAAUAAGACGGAUGGUUAAACGUUGGACACGNNNNNN